rnacentral:rRNA from 1 species
UCAAGCUAAAAAGGGCGCAAGGUGAAUGCCUUGGCACUGGGAGCCGAUGAAAGACGUGGUAAGCUGCGAAAAGCUUCGGGGAGGAGCAAACAUCCAUUGAUCCGGAGAUAUCUGAAUGGGGCAACCCAAUGGAGUUCAUACUCCAUUAUCCAAUACUGAAUCCAUAGGUAUUGGAAGGGAACCGCCUGAACUGAAACAUCUAAGUAGGGCGAGGAAGAGACAUCAAACGAGAUUCCGUAAGUAGUGGCGAGCGAACGCGGAAGAGGGCAAACCGAGAGGAGAAAUCCUUUCGGGGUACGGACUGCUUUUAGGACUGAAAGAGUUAACAGAAUGGCAUGGGAAGGCCAACCGAAGAGUGUGAGAGUCACGUAAGUAAAAAUUCUGACAGCUGCGCAGGAUCCAGAGUACGGCCAGACACGUGAAACCUGGUCGGAACAUGGGGGGACCACCCUCCAACCCUAAAUACUACCCAGUGACCGAUAGCGUAUAGUACUGUGAAGGAAAGGUGAAAAGGACCCCGGGAGGGGAGUGAAAGAGAACCUGAAACCUUGUGCCUACAAGCACAUAGAGCCCGUCAAAGGGUGAUAUGGUACUUUUUGUAGAACGGUCCGGCGAGCGAUUGUACGUUGCGAGCUUAAGGUCUUAAGGACUGGAGGCGUAGCGAGAGCGAGUCUAAACAGGGCGUUUAGUAGCGUGCAAUGGGCCCGAAACCGGGUGACCUACCCAUGAUCAGGCUGAAGUGAAAGUAAAAUUUCAUGGAGGGCCGAACCGACCUCCGUUGAAAAGGCGGCGGAUGAAUUGUGGGUAGCGGAGAAAUUCCAAUCGAACUCGGAGAUAGCUGGUUCUCCCCGAAAUAGCUUUAGGGCUAGCCUCAUGUUAGAUAUCCGGAGGUAAAGCACUGAAUGGCCUAGCGUCCGAGAGGAUAGCGAAGCCUAUCAAACUAAGAAUGCCGGAAUAUUGAUGCAUGGGAGUCAGACAGUGUGAGAUAAAUCUCAUUGUCAAAAGGGAAACAGCCCAGAUCUACAGCUAAGGUCCCAAAUUGUAUCUAAGUGGAAAACGAUGUGGAAAUACGCAGACAACCAGGAUGUUGGCUCAGAAGCAGCCACUCAUUUAAAGAGUGCGUAAUAGCUCACUGGUCGAGCGUCUCUGCGCGGAAAAUUUAACGGGGCUAAGAUACAAACCGAAGCUUAGGCUGCAUACGUAAGUAUGCGGGGUAGGGGAGCGUUGUGUAAGCGGAGAAACAGUAGCGAAAGCGGCUGUGGAGUUUACAGAAGUGAGAAUGCCGGAAUGAGUAGCGCGAAUGAUGUGAGAAUCAUCAUGGCCGGAAACCUCAGGUUUUUGGAGGAAGGUUCGUCCGCUCCAAGUUAGGCGGGAGCUAAGGUGAGGCCGAAAGGCGUAGCCGAUGCACAGACGGUAGAGAUUCCGUCCCCACCGAAAGAUUUAAGCGCAGGGACACUUUUAGAAGGUCGGAGCCAGGUGUUGGUUCUGGUAGAGAUCGAGGGAAGAUUAGUACCGAAGUCCGGCUGGAUAAGAGGCGAGAAAAGCUGCGUGUAUAUCUAAGGUGCCCGUACCGCAAACCGACACAGGUAGGUAGGAAGAAGAUUCUAAGGCCAACGGGAGAAGGGUUGUUAAGGAACUCGGCAAGUUGACCCCGUAACUUCGGAAUAAGGGGUGCUCAUGAAAGUGAGCCGCAGAGAAUAGGCCCAGGCAACUGUUUACCAAAAACACAGGUUUGUGCUAAAUCGAAAGAUGACGUAUACGAGCUGACGCCUGCCCGGUGCUGGAAGGUUAAAAGGAGAUGUGCAAGCAUUGAAUUGAAGCCCCAGUGAACGGCGGCCGUAACUAUAACGGUCCUAAGGUAGCGAAAUUCCUUGUCAGGUAAGUUCUGACCCGCAUGAAAGGCGUAAUGAUUUGGGCACUGUCUCAACAGCCCGCCCGGCGAAAUUGUAGU